CGGCAUUCUUUCUUGACCACGUGAUCGCUGAAGACGGAGAAUACUAUGUGGACCAUGAGUCCGUAUGAUUAUAUUUGUAAGAGAUAAUUAUUGUAUGUAUGUAGCCGGUAGUGUCGGAUAGAUAUAUGAAAACUUGUUGUUCGACCAAUCUCUCGGAGAAGGAGAGGUGGUCGAUAUCACUUCUCUUUGUAUGCAUAUAUGUUCAUGACGAUCUUCUGUUUCCUUCGUUUGCUUACUAGCUAGCUAGCAUGUCUAGUCCUCUCUAUACGUAUGUAUAGUACGUAGCGUCGACCAAGCACGGACAUAAGAGAGGACACUUCUCUCUAUUAAUUAUAGCUAGCUAACACAAUAUAUGAAACACCUAAAUUAACCCCCCAAAACCCCCAACCCCCCUUUCAAAAAAAAAACAAAAACCCCAGUCACAGAAAUGCUGAUGCGUGGAUGCCUAUUGGUCCCGGUUGGUGCCACCAACCAGAACCAAAAGGUCUCCUGCCUGGGCUCCGCGCACAGGCCACGUGGAGGCCCAUCAGUCCCGGUUCUGGAUUGAACUGGGACUAAAGGGACAGUGCAUUAGUACCGACCCUUUAGUCACGGUUCAGGAACCGGGAUAAAAGGCCCUUACGAAUCGGGACAACAGGCCUUUUUUCUACCAGUGCAGCAAAGCUACAAUGCAACACUAACUGGUACCCGGCGUCCUGGGAAGCUCCAUUGAAGCUCCAUGGCAGCACCGCAUUGACGAGGGCUUCAUUGCAGCACCGGGGCCGGCGACGAGGGCUUCAUUGCACCACCGGCGGCCGGCGAUGUGGGCUUCAUCGCAGAAGCGGCAGCCCGACGGCGUCACACCCCAUCCGGCAUGCAGCACUGACGAGUGGGUUCCAGUCUUGUAGCGCGGCGGAAGUUGCAACGCAGCACGCCAGACGCUCACCCUCCGCACCACCGGCGACGCUCUGCAGCAGCGGCCAGUGGCGCCCCCGCUGCAUCAAAGCGGCUGGUCCUUCGCAGCACCACAACGGCUCCGGCAUGAAGCACCAUUGGCUCGCUUCUUUAAUUUGCAGCAUGUCGAGCUGAUGGUCGACUCUCCACAAAACACCAUCCGGCUUGCCGGUUGCCGCCGGUGCCCUGACUUGCAAAAUCGCAGCAGCUCUCGUAAAACUUACCGGUGGGUGAACCUCCUUUACACAACUCGUGGAUUCCUGUAGUGAAGCGCCAGCGACGAGCGGUGGUUGGACGGGCCAAGGGAGCACCAACUCAUGGAAGGAGAGACGCUUGGGGAUAGAAGAGAGAGAGAAAGGGGUAGCUCGUGGAUGGGAUCCAUGGGAGGCCGAGAAGAUAAGGAAGGGCAAGGUAAGCGGUGUGUUGGUCCCGCUGGAACACGUGGCACAAGACGAAGGCGACUUAAAACAGC
rnacentral:rRNA from 1 species